UGUUUCGGCUAGGGGGCCAUCCCGGCUUACCAACCCGAUGCAAACUGCGAAUACCGGAGAAUGUUAUCACGGGAGACACACGGCGGGUGCUAACGUCCGUCGUGAAGAGGGAAACAACCCAGACCGCCAGCUAAGGUCCCAAAGUCAUGGUUAAGUGGGAAACGAUGUGGGAAGGCCCAGACAGCCAGGAUGUUGGCUUAGAAGCAGCCAUCAUUUAAAGAAAGCGUAAUAGCUCACUGGUCGAGUCGGCCUGCGCGGAAGAUGUAACGGGGCUAAACCAUGCACCGAAGCUGCGGCAGCGACACUUUAGUGUUGUUGGGUAGGGGAGCGUUCUGUAAGCCGUUGAAGGUGUCCUGUGAGGGGUGCUGGAGGUAUCAGAAGUGCGAAUGCUGACAUAAGUAACGAUAAAGCGGGUGAAAAGCCCGCUCGCCGGAAGACC
rnacentral:rRNA from 1 species